rnacentral:rRNA from 1 species
CAAUAGCGUAUAUUUAAGUUGUUGCAGUUAAAAAGCUCGUAGUUGGAUUUCUGCUGAGAACGACCGGUCCGCCCUUUGGGUGUGUAUCUGGCUCUUUCUUGGCAUCUUCUUGGUGAACGUUGCUGCACUUGACUGUGUGGAGCGCUACCCAGGACUUUUACUUUGAGGAAAUUAGAGUGUUUCAAGCAGGCAUACGCCUUGAAUACAUUAGCAUGGAAUAAUAAGAUAGGACCUCGGUUCUAUUUUGUUGGUUUCUAGAGCUGAGGUAAUGAUUAAUAGGGAUAGUUGGGGGCAUUCGUAUUUAACUGUCAGAGGUGAAAUUCUUGGAUUUGUUAAAGACGAACUACUGCGAAAGCAUUUGCCAAGGAUGUUUUCAUUG